CUGUUGGCUUGAUUCCGUGCAGGUAAAGCCUGCGUGUGUUGUGAAAACUUCACCAACAAAGUUUCACGAGCGUUUGUUGCUUUCCAUUGCCUUGGCCGUCCACAACAUUGGUUUAUUGUGAGGAAGAAGUGCUGCAGAAGGCGAUAAGGCACUCCAAGAUGAGUUUAUUGCCAACACUUUUCCCGCCAGCCUUGUAAAGGUCUUCAGAGUCGCAGCAGCUGUUCAACACAACACCGCUCUCAAGGUGAACGAAGACGUCAUCAAGGUGAUGACCUCAAUGUGUAUGAAGGAAGUCUUACACAUUCCCCUUCUGUCCUUUCCUGUACCUGUUGUUCUCUGACAUGCUGCUGGCAGAGUUUAUUAGCCAUGGCGGUGCAUACAAAACCUCAA